CUUAGUACAAAAGUUAUAUUUGUUAGGAUCGUAGCCCCUAACUAACUUUUUAAAAGAAAAAUUUCUAUUAGAAAGGCGGAGCUUUUAUCCUUAACCAACAGGCUCAUAACACUGCAUCUAUACGUGCUGCAGGCGGGCCUGAGGGGCCUCGCACCCGAGCUGACUCGCUUCAAGCCAAAUCAAAUUCGAGCGUCAGGCUGGACAGUUAGUCCC
rnacentral:lncRNA from 1 species